rnacentral:misc_RNA from 1 species
UCGUAUAACAGAGGUGCCGGGGCUGUCGCUAACUUUUUGUGCACGCCUCGGUGCUCUCUCACAAUCCAUCACACCCUUUGUGCAUCACCGUGUGGAUGCUAUCCUUUUGGUUCAUUCUGAAAGGGAGUGUCUGCACUUUUACACAGACCCAUUGCAUGUUUAGAAUGUCUUUAUUUGCGGUCACACGCAAUCAAUA